rnacentral:lncRNA from 1 species
AACACAUAAUUAAAGCAAACUAUAAUUGUGCACCAUAAGCAAGAAAUAAUCCUACAAUACCUUGUUCAACUUUAAAACAUAAGAAAUGAUUAAUAUACAGAAAGCUGUUAAAAUUUAUGUUGGGAUAUGUGUAAGGUCAUGUCUAGGUGACAAACAACUGCAUGUGCAAGCAUGCAGCAGCUAUCCGUCACCCAAACAUGACAGUCAUCUCUUCAUCAUUGGAGCUAGUGACCAAAGCCAACUGAUAGAGAUUGAAACAGAAUCAUUAUGAUUGAUAAAAUAUAUGGUUUUGGCACACACUGCUGUAUUAAGGGACUCUGUUAGGAGUCCCAUGUUUCCUCUCCUAUUGUUUUGUUUGGUCCUCGACCAAUUUAUCUGUGUGGAGACCCAGAAUUUGGGUUGGAUGCAAGAUAUCACUCACCACCACAUCAAAAAUUACAGAAGAAAUUUGAAUGGAACAGACAUCUUAAAAGGAAAACAAACUACUUCAUAUUAAGCACUAAAAAGUUUUACACCUGCUUUUUAGUGCUUAAUAUGAAGUAGUUACUUUUUACGAGUAAUAACAUAGCAGUUUGAGAGCUCUUAACCAUGAAAAACAAAC